rnacentral:rRNA from 1 species
UGAGGAAUAUUGGGCAAUGGGCGCAAGCCUGACCCAGCCAAGCCGCGUGCAGGAAGACGGCCCUAUGGGUUGUAAACUGCUUUUAUACGGGAAGAAAACCGGUUUCGUGAAAUUGGGUGACGGUACUGUAUGAAUAAGCAUCGGCUAACUCCGUGCCAGCAGCCGCGGUAAUACGGAGGAUGCAGGCGUUAUCCGGAUUUAUUAGGUUUAAAGGGUGCGUAGGCGGGAUUAUAAGUCAGUGGUGAAAGAUUGCCGCUUAACGGUAAAAUUGCCAUAGAUACUGUAGUCCUUGAGUGUAGAUGAGGUUGGCGGAAUGUGUCAAGUAGCGGUGAAAUGCAUAGAUAUGACACAGAACACCGAUUGCGUAGGCAGCUAACUAAGCUACAACUGACGCUGAGGCACGAAAGCGUGGGGAUCAAACAGG